rnacentral:rRNA from 1 species
UAGGGAAUCUUCCGCAAUGGGCGAAAGCCUGACGGAGCAACGCCGCGUGAGUGAUGAAGGUCUUCGGAUCGUAAAACUCUGUUAUUAGGGAAGAACAAAUGUGUAAGUAACUAUGCACGUCUUGACGGUACCUAAUCAGAAAGCCACGGCUAACUACGUGCCAGCAGCCGCGGUAAUACGUAGGAGGCAAGCGUUAUCCGGAAUUAUUGGGCGUAAAGCGCGCGUAGGCGGUUUUUUAAGUCUGAUGUGAAAGCCCACGGCUCAACCGUGGAGGGUCAUUGGAAACUGGAAAACUUGAGUGCAGAAGAGGAAAGUGGAAUUCCAUGUGUAGCGGUGAAAUGCGCAGAGAUAUGGAGGAACACCAGUGGCGAAGGCGACUUUCUGGUCUGUAACUGACGCUGAUGUGCGAAAGCGUGGGGAUCAAACA